AGUUGAUUCUGGCUCAGAUUGAACGCUGGCGGCGUGCUUAACACAUGCAAGUCGCGCGUGAAAGGACUUCGGUCCGAGUAAAGCGGCGCACGGGUGAGUAACGCGUGGAUGAUCUACCCAUGAGUUAGGAAUAACGGCUGGAAACGGUCGCUAAUACCAAAUACGCUCCGAUUUCAACUUCGGGGGAAAGGUGGCCUCUGCUUGCAAGCUACUGCUCAUGGAUGAGUCCGCGUCCCAUUAGCUAGUUGGUGGGGUAACGGCCCACCAAGGCGACGAUGGGUAGCCGGUCUGAGAGGAUGACCGGCCACACUGGGACUGGAACACGGCCCAGACUCCUACGGGAGGCAGCAGUGGGGAAUAUUGCGCAAUGGGCGAAAGCCUGACGCAGCGACGCCGCGUGAGGGGAAUGAAGGUCCUCGGAUCGUAAACCUCUGUCAGGAGGGAAGAACCGCCACGGUGCUAAUCAGCCGUGGUCUGACGGUACCUCCAAAGGAAGCACCGGCUAACUCCGUGCCAGCCGCCGC
rnacentral:rRNA from 1 species